rnacentral:rRNA from 1 species
AGCAUAUAAUAAGCGGAGGAAAAGAAACUAACAAGGAUACCCUUAGUAAUGGCGAACGAAACGGGUAAAGUCCAAGUUUGGAAUCUCUUGCGUCAAGCAAGCGAGUUGUAAACUGGAAACAUGUUCACCAUGGCAUGUUAGUGAAUGUAAAGUCCACUGGAAUGUGGCAGCGCUUCGGCGUUCUUUGGGUCAGAGAGGGUGAAAACCCCGUUUACAUUCAUUAGUGUGUCUGUUGUGUGAGCGUGUUAAAGAGUCGGAUUGUUUGGGAAUGCAAUCCAAAACGGGUGGUAAAUUCCAUCCAAGACUAAAUAUUAGCAAGAGACCGAUAGCGAACAAGUACCGUGAGGGAAAGAUGAAAAGCACUCUGAAGAGAGAGUGAAAUAGUACGUGAAAUUGCUGAAAGGGAAACGCUUGAGACGAUUGUUGCUUGCAUUUGAAUCAGUUUCGGCUGCUCUUUGAGUGUAUGGCAAGUCAACAGCAUUUCCGAGUGGCAUUGAAGCCUUUCAAGAAUGUAGCAAUCGUUCGCGGUUGUGUUAUAGCUUGGGAUGUUGCCAUGUUGCUUGGGAGUGAGGACUGCUUGRCUCUUUACGUGUUGUUUGUGUGUUUGGUUUGGCAAUUAGAGGCCUUGGCUUAACCUCCAAGACUUUAGUUGUCAAGUUAGGCACUGCAGAUGGCAAGUGGGAGUUGAAAGGUUGUUGACAAAAUUGUCUUAAUCGACCCGUCUUGAAACACGGACCAAGGAGUGCAACAAAUAUGCGAGUCGUAGGGUGACAAACCUGAAGGCGCAAUGAAAGUAAAAAGGUAAGAAGGUGCUCUCGGGUACCUGCAUUACCGCCCGGCCUUGCAGCUUAAUGCUAAAGGGUCUGAGGUAGAGCAUAUUUGCUGCGACCCGAAAGAUGGUGAACUAUGCCUGCAUAGGGCGAAGCCAGAGGAAACUCUGGUGGAGGCUCGUAGCGAUUCUGACGUGCAAAUCGAUCGUCAAAUGUGGGUAUAGGGCGAAAGACUAAUCGAACCAUCUAGUAGCUGGUUUCCGCCGAAGUU